GUGACGUCAUCAUACUUUCCUGUGGCCAUUCAGCAGCAGCGCCGCGCACUAAACCGCAGUUUUCCUCAUAAUAUCGCGUUUAAUUUAUAUUUUCCCCGCGUUGCCUUUUCUUUCUUGUUUAUAACGCACACAGCCUGCAAGGUGUCCUGUCCAUCGGUAGAGGUUCGACACAGCCUGUAUACACUGGAGCACUUCUCCAGGACCAGAUGCAACACAGAACUGUACACAAGACUACAUAAAGUGCUAUACACAGCAGUGUGAGAUGAGUGCAGGACAGUAAAUACACUGGACGUGGACAUUCUCUGAACGGGGACAGUAAAUUCAGUGGACGUGGACAGUAAAUACAGUGGACGUGGACAGUCACUUGACGGGGACAGUAAAUACACUGGACGGGGACAGUCCCUGGACGUGGACAGUAAAUACACUGGAUGUGGACAGUCUCUGGACGUGGACAGUCUCUGGAGGUGGACUGUCACUGGACGUGGACAGUAAAUACACUGGACAUGGACAGUCUCAGGACGUGGACAGUCUCUGGAGGUGGACAGUAAAUACACUGGCUGUGGACUGUCACUGGACGUGGACAGUAAAUACACUGGCUGUGGACUGUCACUGGACGUGGACAGUAAAUACACUGGCUGUGG
ensembl:lncRNA